rnacentral:rRNA from 1 species
AUUGAACGCUGGCGGCAGGCUUAACACAUGCAAGUCGAGCGGAGAUGAGGUGCUUGCACCUUAUCUUAGCGGCGGACGGGUGAGUAAUGCUUAGGAAUCUGCCUAUUAGUGGGGGACGACAUUCCGAAAGGAAUGCUAAUACCGCAUACGUCCUACGGGAGAAAGCAGGGGAUCUUCGGACCUGGCGCUAAUAGAUGAGCCUCAGUCGGAUUAGCUAGUUGGUGGGGUAAAGGCCUACCAAGGCGACGAUCUGUAGCGGGUCUGAGAGGAUGAUCCGCCACACUGGGACUGAGACACGGCCCAGACUCCUACGGGAGGCAGCAGUGGGGAAUAUUGGACAAUGGGGGGAACCCUGAUCCAGCCAUGCCGCGUGUGUGAAGAAGGCCUUAUGGUUGUAAAGCACUGAAAGCGAGGAGGAGGCUACUGAGACUAAUACUCUUGGAUAGUGGACGUUACUCGCAGAAUAAGCACCGGCUAACUCUGUGCCAGCAGCCGCCGUAA